UGAUUAUGGGUGGAUUCCUGGA
rnacentral:misc_RNA from 1 species